GCAGAUGUUAUUGACUAAAUCAAAUCGUGUAUCAUUAAAUAAAACUUAAUUAAGUACAUAUUUUAUGAAAGGCUAAAAUAGAAACUGAUCUCAGCCCGAAUGUCACCUCCGCCGUACCAGGAUGUCAAUAAGGCAUAGUCUCCUUCAGGAAAUGAUCGUGCUGUAAAUGUCGAAUGUUUUUAACAAUAUUUGAAUCUUAAAUAGUAAUGUACUCACAUUAAAUGGGCAGGUGUGAUUCAUAUUUGAAUUGUUUUCAAAAAUCUUAUACAAAAAAUUAACAAUAGGAUACCCCUUUUUGGACAACAGAAAUUUACAAGCAUCAAUGGUUAUAUUAUAAAGAAAAGGUUUAUAGCCAUUCGCAUUUUUUAAAAGCGAAAUGUUAACCUAAGAAUUAGCAAAUAUAUUUUAGACCUGUGUUACUUAAGAUUCAAUAUAGAUUAAAAUGGAACCCACCUUGAUCUUUGUAAUCGGAAGUUUGUACAUAUUGGCCUUGAGGGAAAAGUACUUAUAGGUGCGAUUCACUGAUUUGAUAUAACAAUAUUCAAAUUCCAUAUAUGGCUUGUCCAGCGAUGUGCAUUUCAAGUUUUUAAUAUCAGCAUACGAAUCGACCUGUAAGAAGGUAAAUUAACUAAAAAAAAUGUUUUAUUUAUUUUUAAUACUAACUAAACCUGAAUAACUACGAAUUGAUAUAAAAUGAACCCAGCCAACCAGGAAUAUUUAAACCACAUUUUAACUGUUGUGCUGCUCAAAACAGACUGAUUAAAAUUGAC